UACGGGGGGGGCAAGCGUUGUUCGGAAUUACUGGGCGUAAAGGGCUCGUAGGUGGCCAACUAAGUCGGACGUGAAAUCCCUCGGCUUAACCGGGGAACUGCGUCCGAUACUGGUUGGCUUGAGUUUGGGAGAGGGAUGCGGAAUUCCAGGUGUAGCGGUGAAAUGCGUAGAUAUCAAGAGGAACACCUGAGGUGAAGACGGGUUGCUGGGCUGACACUGACGCUGAGGCGCGAAAGCUAGGGUAGCAAACGGG
rnacentral:rRNA from 1 species